AGACUCAUAAAACAUGCAAGCAAAUCUUUGAAAGCCGGUAGACAACAACCGCCAGAGUCGUGUUGGGUUCUCAGGUUUAGCUUUGUAGAAUAAAAAUCAACCUACAAUCAACAACCUAAAGUUACCUCAAAGAUGAAAGCGUGGAACAUAUUUUUUAUUUUUUUAGUUUCCCUUGUACUAUCAGUAGAGGUCAGUUCCACCACACGAUACCGUCAUUUUGAAGGUACCAAAAAGGAUAAAGAAGUAAACUGUUGCAUGCUGGGUCAACUAGCAGGAGACAAGGGCUUCCAUUGUUUCGUCAACUUUUAUAUUGCCCGACUUUGGAGGCGAAAUUACAACCGCGCACAUAACCGCAAGAUGGCAUUUCAUGGCAGUGGAAGGAUUCCAAAUUAUGGCCAAAAGACCAUGCGUACUUUUCAACAGUGUGUUGCUGGUUUUGGUGUAAUCUUUCAUAAGUGCUGCCACCUAGCAACGAUUGAAAAGCGUAUCGUUCGUUAUAACUCUAAUCACCUUCGGAGAAAUGUUCAUCUGCACAGAUAUUCUGAAAAUCGUCUUAAUCGAAAAGCAGACUAUACAACAUAAAAAUACGAGAGUUUGGGGUUCCUAAGUAGAAAGAGCAGUUAGUGAAGUAGAAACAGUUGUUUGCAAGAAAUGCUUGAUCAGAAAAUGUGUUUAGGAAAAUCAGUCGCAUAUUUAAACUAAUUAGAAGUUACUUACUAGUUUGUUUUCUAGAAAUGUAGUUUCCUAUUUCGAAAUUGUUUUAUUUUGUUGUAUACACAAUAUUAUAAACCACGUUGUAAGGCAUUAUCACGUGACAAAUUUCACUUAAACGGAAAAUAUUUGCUUAUUUUUUUAGCCAAAGAUUAAAUUUUUUUGUUCAUUAGAUAUAUAACCAGAGAUAUAAUUAGUGUAACAAACUUAAUAACCAGAUAAAUGUUUUAUUAACUUAAAUUAGAUAGAGUUUUACUAUAAGUUAAAAACCAGUUUUCUGUGUUCAGAAAGUUCUGUGGAUUCAGGAGAUCGUGUAGUUUUACUGUAGGUGGUUAAAAAUCAGUUUUCUGGGGGUAUUAUUGAACUUGUUACGAUGAAAUUAAUAAAGCAAAAUUAGCUAAACUUUUGAAACAUAACGAUUCAAAGUUAUCAGUAUAUUCGUUAAUUUUCAUUGUGAAAUAUAGUUUGAAAUUUUCAUUUUUAUCCUACUGCUUACCUUCAUAGAGAGUUUUAGAUUAUAAAAAAACUUUAAUAUGUCUUGUUUUUAUUUCAACCUCUUUGAUCAAUAUUUCUAAACUUGAUCAUGUUACAUGAUUUGUUUCAAACCAAUUAUAUUUGUUAGUAUUUACUGCUUACUCGGGUGUUACGUAAACAAUACAAUUUGAUGGUAGUAAAUAAAGAAGGGGUGUUUACCAUACUCUCAUCAAGGUAAUGCAUAAAUACGUGGGGAACUUGUAUCACACUAAUUAAGGUAGCAGAUAAAGGUGCAGGAAAACUUGUACCAUACUAUUUAAGGUAGCAGAUAAAGGUACAGGAAAACUUGUACCAUACUAUUUAAGGUAGCAGAUAAAGGUGCAGGAAAACUUGUACCACACUUUCCUCGAGGUAAUGGAUAAAUGUACUUUAAGAAAGACAGGGAGUAAAUUAUAUAACGUAAAAAUUAAUGAAAUCAGAAACAAAUAUUUAUGUUUUUAAUAUUUGUAUUUUUAAUGCAUCGUUAGUGCCAAGGAUAAUAACAAUGUGUGUAAAAAGUUCUUAUAAUAAAUACAUCGGCAAGUUUCAUGUCUA
rnacentral:misc_RNA from 1 species